AAGAAGCAGAAUCCUCGAGGCCCCCUUCCACUCCGCUCUCUCAAGAUAAGAUGGCAACAGCAAGGGUCAAACUAAACAUACCCAAAGGAGUGAAUCUUGAGGACCCCAAAGUGAGCGAAGCCAUUUUAGAGCAGAUUCGGGAGCACCUCUCCAAGAACAUUCCAAUGGACGGUGUUAAUCUGCACUGGAGAAAACAAGACGGGGAGAUAUUCCACAAGGAGGAGGAGGAGGAGGAGGAGGAGGAGAAGAAGUACUUCAAGCCGUGAGAUACCAGCGCCCACAAUGACAAGCGGGGGCUUUCAGAGCAGCACUGGUUUAUAUUAAUCUGACAUUAUCUACUGGUUUAUAUUAAUCUGACAUUAUCUACUGGUUUAUAUUAAUCUGACAUUAUCUACUGGUUCAUAUUAAUCUGUCAUUAUCUACUGGUUUAUAUUAAUCUGUCAUUAUCUACUGGUUUAUAUUAAUCUGUCAUUAUCUACUGGUUUAUAUUAAUCUGACAUUAUCUACUGGUUUAUAUUAAUCUGACAAUAUCUACUGUUUAUAUUAAUCUGACAUUAUCUACUGGUUUAUAUUAAUCUGACAUUAUCUACUGGUUUACAUUAAUCUGACAUUAUCUACUGGUGCAGCACUGGUUUAUAUUAAGUUGAUGGGGUGUUUUUUUUAAUCUUUAGUGAUCAUUUAAAUAUAUGUUAAAUUAUUUACUGGUGCAGCACAUAUUUAUAUUAAGGUGAUGGGGUGUGUGUGUUUUAAUUUAAUGAUAAUUUAAAUAUAUGUUAAAUUAUUUACUGGUGCAGCACAUAUUUAUAUUAAGGUGAGGUGUGUGUGUGUGUGUUUUAAUGUAGUAAAUGAUGCUAAUAGAGGUUACAUUAGUUGCUGGUGCAAGUUUCUUUCACCUUGUAAAGAAUAUAUUCAGAGUGAUAACAGAGUAACAGGCCUCUUCACCAUGGCAUGGCAGAGCAUGGAUUUACAGAAUGAAUGUACAACUUGCAGUGUACUAUUAAAUCCCAUAGAGGGCACCACAAACACAUUUACUGAGGGAGGAAGGGAGGAAGCUCCUGUAUAAUUAUACAAUCACCUGGAAGGUCUUAAUGCUGCAGUACAUUACAAACAACAGCCAGGAUACAGGUGUUGAAUUGUUAUCAGGAGGACAGGGCUAAAGUAGAUGGCAGAUGAAGGACAGUUCUGUUUUUCACAUGAUCCUCCAGUGAAUGACAUGGGCAGCUCUAGCCUGGGUCACUCUGAGCCUUUGUCUGGUAAGUGAGAGGAGUUGUCCUAGUGCAGCUCAGCAAGCUGGUCUCUUCCAGUCCAGGUCUGCGUUCCAACCAUGGCUGCGUUUCUACCUGGAGGAAAAGCCCUCCAGGACUGGAGCCUGUCGCAAUGCAAGUGAAGCUACAGCAUAUACUAGCACUGUGGCGCCCCCUAUGGUCUUUAAAUAGGUCUGCAUUAUCACACAGAAAUAUAUGUGCAGUCUGCAGGGUGCAAUGCAACAUGGGGUGAAGUCAUUAAGGCUAUGAGUAGGGUGGUUUGCUACAGUUUAUGAUUUAAAUGGAAAUGUCUUAUUGUUUCUGAUGAUAUUUAAUUUACAUUGCUGUAAAAACAAAAAAUAACAGGGUCACUGAAAAAGUUUUAUUUCUCAUUAUAGUGUAUGGGGAGCAGGGGAGGGGAACCAAAUCCAUGCAUUCAUGAAACAUGUUCAUCUCAUGCAAACACAUAGAAAUCACACGAGCUGUACCAAAGAAAAUAUGUGAUUCAUGUCAUUGUAUUGUAUGAAGGGUUGUGCAUGAUAAUGAUACUCUACUACUCUGUAUUUCUGAAUGUGUUUUUGCUUAUUUAUUUCAAUAAAGUUUCA